rnacentral:piRNA from 1 species
UACUGCUAAGCCCUGUGAUAACCC